rnacentral:SRP_RNA from 13 species
GCUGGGCAUGGUGGUGGAUGCCUGUAAUCCCAGCUACUCAGGAGGCUGAGGCAGGAGAAUCACUUGAUCCUGGGAGGUGGGGGUUGCAGUGAGCCGAGAUCGUGCCAUUGCACUCCAGCUUGGCAACAGAGUGAGACUGCAUCCAGAAAAAGGAAAGAAAAGAAAAUCAGAUACUUCAGACUUGGUGUUUCUGGUUUUUUUUUUUUUUUUUUUUUUUUGAGUCGGAGUGCGCUCUUGUUACCCAGGCUGGAGUGCAAUGGCGCGAUCUCGGCUCACUGCAACCCCCACCUCCCAGGAUCAAGUGAUUCUCCUGCCUCAG